UGGGGAAUAUUGGACAAUGGGGGAACCCUGAUCCAGCCAUGCCGCGUGUGUGAAGAAGGCCUUUUGGUUGUAAAGCACUUUAAGUGGGGAGGAGGCUCUCUUGGUUAAUACCUAAGAAGAGUGGACGUUACCCACAGAAUAAGCACCGGCUAACUCUGUGCCAGCAGCCGCGGUAAUACAGAGGGUGCGAGCGUUAAUCGGAUUUACUGGGCGUAAAGCGCGCGUAGGUGGUUAAUUAAGUCAAAUGUGAAUCCCGAGCUAACUUGGGAAUUGCAUUCGAUACUGGUUAGCUAGAGUAUGGGAGAGGAUGGUAGAAUUCCAGGUGUAGCGGUGAAAUGCGUAGAGAUCUGGAGGAAUACCGAUGGCGAAGGCAGCCAUCUGGCCUAAUACUGACACUGAGGUGCGAAAGCAUGGGGAGCAAACAGGAUUAGAUACCCUGGUAGUCCAUGCCGUAAACGAUGUCUACUAGCCGUUGGGGGAUUUGAUCCUUUAGUGGCGCAGCUAACGCGAUAAGUANACCGCCUGGGGAGUACGGUCGCAAGACUAAAACUCAAUGAAUUGACGGGGUCAUAGCUGUUUCCUG
rnacentral:rRNA from 1 species